GGCCGCCUGUAGUCUAGUGGCUAAGGUGCAUGACCGGGACUCUUGAGGUCGUGGCUCAAGCCCCAUUGUAGCCA